rnacentral:rRNA from 1 species
AAGACCUUGCGCUUUUGGAGCGGCCGAUGUCUGAUUAGCUAGUUGGUGGGGUAAUGGCCUACCAAAGCUUCGAUCAGUAGCUGGUCUGAGAGGACGGCCAGCCACACUGGGACUGAGACACGGCCCAGACUCCUACGGGAGGCAGCAGUGGGGAAUUUUGGACAAUGGGCGCAAGCCUGAUCCAGCCAUGCCGCGUGAGUGAAGAAGGCCUUCGGGUUGUAAAGCUCUUUCAGCCGGAACGAAACGGUUACGGUUAAUACCCGUGAUUACUGACGGUACCGGAAGAAGAAGCACCGGCUAACUACGUGCCAGCAGCCGCGGUAAUACGUAGGGUGCGAGCGUUAAUCGGAAUUACUGGGCGUAAAGCGUGCGCAGGUGGUUUUGUAAGUCAGAUGUGAAAGCCCCGGGCUCAACCUGGGAACU